AAUGAACGCUGGCGGCGCGCCUAAUACAUGCAAGUCGAGCGAGAAGACGUAGCAAUACGUUUGUAAAGCGGCGAACGGGUGAGGAAUACAUGGGUAACCUACCCUAGAGUGGGAAUAACUAGCCGAAAGGUUAGCUAAUACCGCGUACGCUCCUUGGACUUCGGUUCAGGGAGGAAAGCGAUGCCGAGGGUAUCGCGCUCUUGGAUGGGCUCAUGUCCUAUCAGCUUGNGGUGAGGUAACGGCUCACCAAGGCUUCGACGGGUAGCUGGUCUGAGAGGACGAUCAGCCACACUGGCACUGCGACACGGGCCAGACUCCUACGGGAGCAGCAGUAAGGAUAUUGCGCAAUGGGCAAAGCCUGACGCAGCGACGCCGCGUGGGGGAUGAAGUC
rnacentral:rRNA from 1 species